UACGUAGGGAGCGAGCGUUGUCCGGAUUUACUGGGUGUAAAGGGUGCGUAGGCGGAUCUGCAAGUCAGUAGUGAAAUCCCAGGGCUUAACCCUGGAACUGCUAUUGAAACUGUGGGUCUUGAGUGAGGUAGAGGCAGGCGGAAUUCCCGGUGUAGCGGUGAAAUGCGUAGAGAUCGGGAGGAACACCAGUGGCGAAGGCGGCCUGCUGGGCCUUAACUGACGCUGAGGCACGAAAGCAUGGGUAGCAAACAGG
rnacentral:rRNA from 2 species